UCGUAGCGUCACGUGCGUACAUGAGUAGAGUACCUGGUGAAUGUUAUUAAUAUCGAACUGGAUCCGCCAGAACAGGUAGAUUUUGUAGGUCCAGGAUAAUACACAGACACUGUGAAAAACAAACUUAUAAGUAUAUCAUUACACACUGUUCCACUAUGGAUUCAACACAGUUCGGUGAACAACGAGGAAGGAAACUCUCGCCCCGACAAGAAAUUCAGACGUGAACAUUACAAGGUUAGCGAGUGUACGUGCAUUGUACCCUAUCAAUAGAAGUGCAUCUUCUGAGAUUAUAAGCCCACAGGAACGAUGAAGUCUCCUACAAGUGCUUGGAUGAGGUCACCGACAGUAAGCGUACUUCUGUAUGUGGUAGUAAUGAUGUCACAGACCAUAAGCCUACUUCUGAAUGUGGUAGUAAUGACGUCACGGACCAUAAGCCUACAUUUGCCUGUGGUAGUUAUGACGUUAUUCGUCGAAGAUACCACCGGAUAUGGGUUAUAUACUUCAGACUACCAUGUGGCGCUCUCUGGUGAUCUAGUGGUAACCUAUAAACUACCAUCUAAUGUCAACGACGGUGUCUUUGUUCAGCUUAUGGAAGAGGUAAAGAACGUACCAACAGAAGUGGCUACACAACCAGUUCCUCCACAGUCUUCUUUUGGAAAAGUAAACUUCUUCUGCGGACUCGUGGACCAUCCUGGAGACUUUUUCUUCCGUCUCGUCACAAAAGAUAAG